rnacentral:piRNA from 1 species
UAGAACGCUCCUCUGGUUAUCUACUAUUCU